GCAAGUCGAGCGCGAAAACACUUCGGUGUGAGUAGAGCGGCGGACGGGUGAGUAACGCGUAAGAAUCUACCUAGUAGUGGGGGACAACUCGAGGAAACUCGAGCUAAUACCGCAUACGCCCUACGGGGGAAAGCGGGGGACCUUCGGGCCUCGCGCUAUUAGAUGAGCUUGCGUUGGAUUAGCUUGUUGGUGAGGUAAUGGCUCACCAAGGCUUACGGGUAGCCGGCCUGAGAGGGUGAUC
rnacentral:rRNA from 1 species